ACUACCAUUGAAAACAUUGUAAAAUAAUUGACUUGGUUGUGAAAGUCUAUUUUUUUGCAUUCUGAGGUGUCAAUUUUGAUUCAGACUGAAUUAAUAACACUUCUGAAGGAAAGAAAGCAAAUAUUUUGGUUCCUCUCAAAACACGCUGAAAGGAAAUGAUGUCAUAUUUUCAAUCUGAGUCACGUGAGAAGAAGUGGGGGAGAAGUGCUUGGAGAGCUUCGUCCGUUAAGACGGUUAAGAAAGAAUGAUUAACGUCCCAGCACGUCAAAGAAUAAACCUGCGGUUGGAUGUGGAAAUGCAAAGAAUGCAGCGAGCAUUUUUCAAGAAGAUCUGAGAUACUGAAACACUUGAGAAUUGACCAUCGGUUUCACGGGUGCUGAUGCAGAUUUCAGAAGGGAGUGUAUCCUCAGAGCUCUCAUCAUCUACCUGGGAGAACGUGUUGAGGACCUUAUAAAGGAAUACAUGGUCUCCCAGAAAGAUCAAGCUGAGCAGGAGCUGGAGAGGACCAUCAUGGCAGUCUUCGUCUUCAGAGAGAAUUCAAGCCUUCUACAGCAGCCCCAAGACGUUAGGAUUGUCAUUGAUGGUGUGGAAGUCCUCAAUGAGUUGCCUUCUCUUGCAGCCGGAGUGGCAAUGCUCUUUGGACUUUGCUAUGCGCUUAACAUGGAGUAUCCACAGGGUUUCAGGUUCACCUUUGAGGCCCUUCAGAAGAUCCUGAUGGAGCUUGGUUCCAACAAGAUGACUUCCAAGAUUCGCAAACUCAGUGGUGAACUCAAAACUGCACAGUAGUGUAUAUUUGUGUGUAAGCACACACAUUAGCAAUGUGUGCCUGUAGUUGCCACUGGCUUCUAUUUAAGAGGUAGACCACCUCAACAGCACUUUGUUAUACAGGCUCACAGGGUCACUUUCAUGGAGUGUUUUUGUUGGAAUUUUAGUUCUUUGAUGAUGUUUAGAGAUGCAACAUUCCUUCAAGUUCAGAUGUGUUUGACCAGUACAACAACAGUGGAUGCUUUCCAUCCAUUUAAUUUAGCUUGGUAAGCCAUAUUGUCUUUAUUUCAUUGCUCUGAUAUAGAGCAACAAUGACAUGUCUAUAUUUGUCUGAACAUGCAACUUUUUUUUGUCCUUUUUUACUUGAGGAAUAAAUAACUUUGAA